rnacentral:rRNA from 1 species
UUCCUACGGGCGGCUGCAGUCGGGAAUUUUGGGCAAUGGGCGAAAGCCUGACCCAGCAACGCCGCGUGAAGGAUGAAGUAUUUCGGUAUGUAAACUUCGAAAGAAUAGGAAGAAUAAAUGACGGUACUAUUUAUAAGCUCCGGCUAACUACGUGCCAGCAGCCGCGGUAAUACGUAGGGAGCGAGCGUUGUUCGGAUUUACUGGGCGUAAAGGGCGCGUAGGCGGCGCGGUAAGUCACUUGUGAAAUCUCUGAGCUUAACUCAGAACGGCCAAGUGAUACUGCAGUGCUAGAGUGCAGAAAGGGGAAUCGGAAUUCUUGGUGUAGCGGUGAAAUGCGUAGAUAUCAAGAGGAACACCUGAGGCGAAGGCGGGUUGCUAGGCUGACACUGACGCUGAGGCGCGAAAGCCAGGGGAGCAAACGGGAUUAGAUACCCUAGUAGUCA